rnacentral:piRNA from 1 species
CAACAUUGAUGAAUUACAAGAGC